rnacentral:rRNA from 1 species
UACGUAGGGGGCAAGCGUUGUCCGGAUUUAUUGGGCGUAAAGAGCGUGUAGGCGGCCAUACAGGUCCGUUGUGAAAACUGGAGGCUUAACCUCCAGACGUCGAUGGAAACCAUCUGGCUAGAGUCCGGAAGAGGAGAGUGGAAUUCCUGGUGUAGCGGUGAAAUGCGCAGAUAUCAGGAAGAACACCCGUGGCGAAGGCGGCUCUCUGGGACGGUACUGACGCUGAGACGCGAAAGCGUGGGGAGCGAACAGG